rnacentral:lncRNA from 1 species
CUACCCUAUAUUUGUUUCUCCAUGCAUCUAUCAAUGGACUCUUGGAUUGUUUCUAUCUUUUAGCUUGUGACUACUGCUGCUGUGAACAUGAUGUACAAAGAGCUCUUCAAGACUUUGCUUUCAACUCCUUGGAUAUAUAUACCCAGAAGUGGAACUUCUGGACCAUACGGUCCAGUCUUUGCCAUUGCCUGUGAAUGUUCAUCUCCUGUUCCUUCAGAUUUCCAGUACAGACUCUUAAGCAUUCCAAUGCAGACCUUUUGGCUUUCCAACAUGAGACCUGAACUUUGACAGGAUCCUCUGACUUUCCAGCACACAGUCUAUGCUGAAUGCAGCCAUAACAAACAGUCCCAAAGGCAGAGUGACUUAGCACAGUCAUUGUCCUUUUGACCACACAAAUCCAUAAUGGAUCCUCCAGGCAGAAAGCCUCCCUGAGGUGCUCUCCACUAAGUGACGACUCGGAGGCUCAGCAUCCUUCCACUUCAACAUAAUCUACAAUUUUGGCCGAGUGUCCAAGUCAGGACAUGUCUCUGCUCAUACUGGUAGAUAAAGAAGGCAAUCAGACCACCAAUCUGUACUAGAUGCAGAGCUCCCUGACCAUGGUUUCCUGUGACUGUCUCUCACCCAGUCACUGUGGGAACAUAACACUGGGAGCCCUGAGGUGAAGCCAUCCAGCAGCUGCCCUGAGUUCUGGGUUCAAACAACCAGCCCUUCUCCAGAAUGUCAUCUGACCAAGGAAUAUGUCGGAUUCUUGGACUGGAGUCAUUCACCAGCUGUUGCCUGUCAAAGGACUCAUGUGGGAGCAUAUUUUCGUGUUCUUCUUGCAGCUCACAGCACCUGCAGAGUGAAUUCUCACAAGCAGAUGUUGACAUGCAGUUCGGAGUGCAAGUUAGGGGAGACGUUUUGUAAGGACCAACACCUGUGAAGGGAAGGAGGUGAUCUAGGAGUGGCAGAGGGAGAAACUGAACAGCGAUGGAGGCCUUGCAAAGCUUUGCCAACCUAACAGGAAGCUUUAGGAAAAAAAUGCUCUACCAGGAUGUUCUAUAUCAGCCUGAAAUAGCCAACCUUUUCUGCUUCUACUUCAUUCAUUCACCUUGCCAGCUUUUCCUGGCAAGUAUGUGAUCCUUUCUACAGCUCUAGCUGACCCUGACAGAACUAGCAGCCAAGGCUGUCUGCUCACUAUGCUUCACUAUGAAGUAACAGAUGUUUAUUUAAAGAACUCAGUCAAUGCCAGGACAAAAUAGUGAGUCUCCUAGAUGUCACAAUCCCCAGGAGCAUCGACUUUUUAUUGGUUACUUUUGCUAGAAACAGAUAUGUUCUUUCAAGUUAUAUGUGGAAAAGAUUAAUUAUGUUUCAUUAGGACAUAUGCAAAUUGUAAAACAAAUUUUAAAAGGAAAUGACAGAGAAUAUCAUUAAAACAUGGA